rnacentral:rRNA from 1 species
GUUUGAUCCUGGCUCAGGAUGAACGCUAGCGACAGGCUUAACACAUGCAAGUCGAGGGGCAGCGGGGAUGAAGCUUGCUUCAUCCGCCGGCGACCGGCGCACGGGUGAGUAACACGUAUGCAACCUGCCCCUGGCUGGGGGAUAAGCCGGAGAAAUCCGGUCUAAUACCGCGUAACAUCCUUACGGGACAUCCCGUUAGGAUCAAAGGAAGCGAUUCCGGCCAGGGAUGGGCAUGCGGCGCAUUAGCUAGUCGGCGGGGUAACGGCCCACCGAGGCGACGAUGCGUAGGGGUUCUGAGAGGAAGGUCCCCCACACUGGUACUGAGACACGGACCAGACUCCUACGGGAGGCAGCAGUGAGGAAUAUUGGUCAAUGGGCGCGAGCCUGAACCAGCCAAGUCGCGUGAGGGAAGACGGUCCUAUGGAUUGUAAACCUCUUUUGCCGGGGAGCAAGCUGGGUCACGUGUGACCCAGCUGAGAGUACCCGGAGAAAAAGCAUCGGCUAACUCCGUA